UGGAGGUGAUGGACACAAGUGUGUGACCAAUGAGGAGGAGAAGCUGCCGCAGAGAGCCAGAGGGGAAGGAGUGGGCGGGCCAACGCCCUCCCCUCCCUCAGGCGCCCAGGUCCUCCCUCCUGCCCAUUUCGGCCCUACUCCAUGAUUUCAGCCUGUAUCCUAAGCCCACCUAAGAAAAUGAACCAAGCUGCAGACUUCUCAUAGUGCCCAGAUUGUGUAUCUGUUGCCCCUCGGUGUUUUGAAACUUCUUCGGAGUUCGGCAGUGCAAGGAGGCCAGCAUCCUCAUCCCAGGACAUAGUGAUCUGCAGGAGGUCUCUACUGAUCUCAUCUGGUCUGGUCAAGACUUGGCUGGACUCAGCCGAAUUCAGCUGGGCUUUGCUCCAGGACACAGUUCUUAGCAGCCAGCAAACAGCCUCCUUAGUUACCAGGGAGACUUCAGGGAGAGAAGCUCGGCCUGUUGCCCUGUAUGAAGUAACCGCUUCGUAGAUUUCAAAUGAAUGAAGAAUGAUAUGGAAUCACCACUGAUUCAGUGGUAUAGAAAAACUUAAUGAGGAGCGCUCAAAGUAUCUCAGAGAGGAAAGAAGGAAAGUCGAUUACUUGAAAUAACCAGGAGUGGGCAGCGUCAAAGAGAUAAAGGAGGGGCUUUCAAUGAGUAUCACAAAGUGGAACAUGUAGGGAAUAAAGGGGAUAGAAAUUCAGCAGGUAUUUACUGAGCAUCUCCUACAUGCCAGGCACUGUGGGAGAGCAGACAUCAGUGAUGAAGAUUGAACCAGCCACCCAGCCUGCUGACAGGGGUCAGACCUGAGUACCAGAGAAGGCAGCUGGACACCUGAAGCCCAGAUUGGGCACCCUGCACAGCCCAGUAUUUGCCCAACUGAAAAACCCAGCACUAAUUCGAUAGCUAAUAUGGGACAGAGAUGAUGAGUGGGUUUUUGCUUUUAAAAGACUUACUUCAGGACUUCCCUGUUGA